rnacentral:lncRNA from 1 species
CACCCGUUUUCCUCCCGAUGUCCCUGCCUUGCUGUUCUCAGCAUUUGCAAGGUUGCCCACAGUCUGAGAGUGGGGUGCUCAGCGCUGGGAGUAGUGGCUCUUCUGUUUACCAAAUUGGAGAAUUCUGGAAAAAAAUGUGCACCUCCCAUCGUGACUUAACUGUGGGCAAAAUCGAGCCAGGAAUCAGCUCUGGUAGAAUUUAGAAUUCUGUCUCCUAAAGAUCAAACUAAAAUGAAAAUUCCAGAAAGCCGGCAAAAGACCGAAAAAGAAAACUUAAUCUGGAAUACGCUUGGUCCUGAGAAGCUCUGUGUGCUAACUCACCUGCAUGCUGUGGGCAAGGUAGGUUUCGGCAAAUGAGUUCCCUUUUGUACCACACUUUCAGACAGGAAAGUCACAGAAGCCUGACAGGUUAGUAAGAGGCUAGGAAAGUAGAAACGUGUUUUACACAGCUAAAACCAACCCAUUAACUCCCCUGCUAAACAAAGGAAUAAAACAGUACGUUAAACCCAUACUGAAGGAAAAUGGCCGAGUGGCGCCACCUGGUGUCUAUUUUCUUUUACAACAGCGGGUGAUUCCUGCGCCCUCUGGUGGUGCUACGCAACCCGUCU